rnacentral:lncRNA from 1 species
GUCAGAUACAUCUUCAAUUUCUGUGAAUAUAUUUUCUUCAAAUAUUUUCUUGAUCCGUUCUCUCUUGGAUUCAUAUCCAAUUUCAAUAAACAAAACACUAUCCUGUUUUUUCUUGAUCCAUCGCAUUGUAUCAAGAAGAAAAGUGAGCAGAAAUUUCAGAUCCUUCUGAAGAACAUUGACUUGAUUCCUCACAAGAACACUGGAAUAUAUUUGGCAAUUAAGCAAUUUUCCAAUAGUUUCAAGAAGAAAGUCGAUAAACUGGUUACUGUUGGACAAUUGUUGAUGCUGCUAGCUCUAUCAUACACGUGCUUUUGAAUUGUGAAGAACUUUUUAGGCUCUGGCAUGAAAGAUAAGAUGAUCUCUAAAAAGUUUUUGUAAUGUUUACUCUCUUCGUAUAAGAUGCAGUCGGAGGCUGAAUCAUCAAGAUGCUUCAAUAGAUCAUUAAAUCUCUCGUUGAAGAAUUUCUUCCUGCUUACUUUAUGAAUAAAGCACACUUGUUUUGCAUAUUGGAGAAAUGUUAUAAAGUGUGGCCCAAGUCAUUGAAAACUAACAAUUUUAUUUCCUCCAUCAAGGUUUAAAUCUUGCAAACGGGAAAGGGGAUUUUGGGUUGUGACUAGACUUGACAGAUUUUGAUAAGAAAGAUUCAUCAAGUAUUGUUGGAUUGGGCAGAGACCAAAGAGAGAAAGAGAAGGAAAAUGAAUGUUUCUGAUCUUUGUUUUCA